rnacentral:rRNA from 1 species
UACGAAGGGGGCUAGCGUUGUUCGGAAUUACUGGGCGUAAAGGGCGCGUAGGCGGCCUUCUAAGUCGAACGUGAAAUCCCCGGGCUCAACCCGGGAACUGCGUCCGAUACUGGAAGGCUUGAAUCCGGGAGAGGGAUGCGGAAUUCCAGGUGUAGCGGUGAAAUGCGUGGAUAUCUGGAGGAACACCGGUGGCGAAGGCGGCAUCCUGGACCGGCAUUGACGCUGAGGCGCGAAAGCCAGGGGAGCAAACGGG